CUCGUUACUGUGCCUUCGACGUCGCGACGCGUCCGUUCUCUCAGGAACUACGGAAACUUCACUCUGGAUAAGACGGCGAGCACCUGGAUCGUCUCUCGAAAGGUCUCGACCUCCAGUUCCAGGGACUGCAGGUUAGGUUAGACCACUGCGAAUUCUCGUCCAGGAUCAAAAUGAAGCCAAGUGUAUCGAAAGAAUGUGAGAAUAAGCGGCGAGGCUGCUUUCAGCUUUGAACGAGGGUACCGAAGAAGAGAGGCAGAGAAAGAAAGAGAAGGAAAAAAAGCGCAAUUAACGGCCCCUCGAUAAUAUCCUUUACAGGAUGGCAAAACGGCUUUGACGUUCCCGGGAGAAAUCUUUGAGCAUAUUUUCACGUCUAUUCUGAAGCGUCUCUGCCGGAUGCAGAUAGGGAGGACGACGCCGAUCCUGACGCCGUCGUCCCAUCCACCACACAUGCCCACACAUGGAACCCUCGCACAAUAUCCUUGAUGUCCCAGGCCAUCUAACCUAAGCGAUAUGGAUGAACCUUCAACCAUGCGAAUUGCCCGAUCGUUAUCUUUUUUUUUUUCAGUCUUUUGUCACAUAACAUCAAACAGUUCACAGCCGCCAUUCACCUUCCACCAGCCUCCGUGUAUACCAAAUUUUUAACAAUGCAAAGUACAAUAAAUGAAAAAAAAAAGGUGGGUAAGCAAUCAAUUUGAAAAUCAUACACAAACUCCGCUGCACUUGAAUUCCAAUGGCAGGAUAGACGCAUCGGACCCAUAACUCAUACUUCAUUAGAGAUCAAGAAACGUGCUGUAUGCUCAAUGCAAUUAUACUCGAGUACUCAUUACUCGGACAGGUUAGACUGACUGAUGGUACAUUAGAAAUCUUCAUCCACGUACAGCACGACCAGUACAAUACCGUAUCUUCAAAGUGCAAGUGAAAAUCCCGGAUAAUAUUAUUAACACGAGAAUCGGUCGUCUGGCCGUCGAGUUUCCAGAGAUGAAAAUAAAUGACGCAACCACUGGCACUGGACCAUUAGGCCACGCAGCAUCCUCCGGCGUCUCGGCAGAGGUCCGAUCGAUACCGUCGCCAUAAUGGAAACGAAUAACGAUGAUAAUUCAGCAAGAAUCGCAAGGACGUUCGCGUAUGGUAUCUUGUUAAUAAUCCGUAUCGAGGUUAAUUUAAACCACCAAAGGAUCUCGCCUGGCCGUUCUUCCAUGCCGGCCCGAUGACGUCGCACGAGUAUCAAUUUGACAUGGGCUUUACGGCGAUACCGAUGGCGAUUCUUUGCAAGAGAAAAGACCGUGAUCCACGGAGGACAGUGCUGUCACGUAUUAAAUACCGAUACGCGGAUCCCGGAGAGGUGGUAGAAAAAAUUCAGCAAUAGCAAUAAACAUUGGAUGCAGUGGGUUUCGUCGCGCUCCAAUUGGCGCAGCCAUCGAAAGUGAAUAGUCAACGGUAACACACGAGUCACCGUGCUUGCACAACAAAGCGCGCAUUUGAUAUAAGUAACAAGAGCCGUCACCGGGCUCAAUGUAAAACGCCCAUAGAGCACCGAGGACACUUUCAUUUUCAACGUAACGUCAGGAUUUCCAAAAAUUACCCGGACGUCAACCGUAGGAGCCAGUACCCGAAUGCGGUGCGCGACGUUGGAUCCAAUUAAGAAAUCGAGGGAACGAAUUUUCAUACAAUUUUGAAAAAAAUCACUAAGAUCUAAUUAUCCGAUCCAUCAUCAUCGUCGUCAGAGAAAUUAUUCAGCUUCUCUCAUCUUCUUCUUUCUUUCCCAUCUCUCCCUCUUCCUCGACCUACGGUACCGUCCAUACGCUCUAUCCUCCUUCCUCGGCAUCACAGGUCCUCCCUUGCUCACUCCCUGCUCCGUGAUUCCGUCUCGCUCGCACUGGCUCCUUUGGUCCAGCCCAGCAUCAGGUCAACGCCCCAGUGACCAGCGCACCUUGUCCGUUCAUUCCCUCGGUGUGUCCGUCCGUUCCGGCGUUCAUGUGUUCCUACGUUCCAUGGAAUUUAUUCAGUC